rnacentral:rRNA from 1 species
AACGAACGCUGGCGGCAGGCCUAACACAUGCAAGUCGAGCGAGACCUUCGGGUCUAGCGGCGGACGGGUGAGUAACGCGUGGGAACGUGCCCUUUUCUACGGAAUAGCCUCGGGAAACUGAGCGUAAUACCGUAUACGCCCUUUGGGGGAAAGAUUUAUCGGAGAAGGAUCGGCCCGCGUUGGAUUAGGUAGUUGGUGGGGUAAUGGCCUACCAAGCCUACGAUCCAUAGCUGGUUUGAGAGGAUGAUCAGCCACACUGGGACUGAGACACGGCCCAGACUCCUACGGGAGGCAGCAGUGGGGAAUCUUAGACAAUGGGGGCAACCCUGAUCGAGCCAUGCCGCGUGAGUGAUGAAGGCCUUAGGGUUGUAAAGCUCUUUCAGCUGGGAAGAUAAUGACGGUACCAGCAGAAGAAGCCCCGGCUAACUCCGUG